GGAUUGAGACAGAUGCAGACCCCGAAGCCCACUCCACACCAGGGUUUGUAGUACAGCGUGUUGCUCCUGGCUUACACACUCGAACAGCGGGUUGCUGUACUCACUACUGCAUGGGUGUGACACAGUGGUCUUAUUUUGGGAAGUUAUAGGAAACCUCUGUUUUGAAAAUCUCCAUUGUUGCAGAAGCACGUCUUUUAUGUCUCCAGACCAACAAGCCUUGCAGUUAAUUUAAUGCCUGCAGUUUAACAGGGAGGGCCU